rnacentral:rRNA from 1 species
GACGAACGCUGGCGGCGUGCUUAACACAUGCAAGUCGAACGGACAGACCCUGCUUUUGUGGGGUGCUCGAGUGGCGAACGGGUGAGUAACACGUGAGUAACCUGCCCUUGACUUUGGGAUAACUUCAGGAAACUGGGGCUAUUACCGGAUAGGAGCUCCUGCUGCAUGUUGGUGGUUGGAAAGAUUCGGCGGUUGGGGCUGGACUCGCGGCUUAUGAGCUUGUUGGUGUGGUAGUGGCUUACCAAGGCUUUGACGGGUAGCCGGCCUGGGAGGGUGACCGGCGACAAUGGGACUAAGAGACGGACCAGAAGCCUACGGGAGGCAGUGGGCGGGAGUAUUGCAGAGUGGGCGGGAGCCAGAUGCAGCGGCGCUGCGUGCGGGAUGACGGGCUACGGGUGGUAAACCGCUUUCGCAUGUGACGAAGCGGGAGUGACGGUAACGGGUAAAGAAGCACCGGCUAACUACGUG